rnacentral:rRNA from 1 species
UCUUCUUUUUUUGUUGUAAUAGGAAUUUAUUUUUUUAGUGAAAAAACUAAGAUGUUCUUGAAAGACGAGAAGACCCUAUAGAGUUUUAUAUAAGAAUUUUUUUUAUUUUGUAUUAGGUUUUUUUCGAAAUAAAAGAAUCUCAUAUUUAGUUGGGGCGACGUUAAGAUAAUUAAAACUCUUUUUUCAAAAAAUUUUAAUAAAAAUAUUAUUUGAUCCUUUAAAARAGAUAAAAAGAAAAAAUUACCUUAGGGAUAACAGCGUAAUCUUUUUUCAGAGUUCUAAUCGACAAAAAGGUUUGCGACCUCGAUGUUGGACUAAAAUUUAGGUGUGGUGCAGUAGCUUCAUUAAUAGGUCUGUUCGACCUAUAAUA